rnacentral:rRNA from 1 species
GCCUACAGCCAUGCCACCCUGAAUAAGCCCGAUAUGUCUGAUCUCAGAAGCUAAGCAGGGUCGGGCCUGGUAAGUACUUGGAUAGGAGAUCACUUAGGAAGAUCGGGUGUUGUAGGCA